rnacentral:tRNA from 1 species
AGGGAUUUAGCUCAGUGGCACAGCGCCUGCAUGGCAAGCAUGAGGUCCUGAGUUCAAUUCUCAGCAUCCUCC